AGUUGCAAGGUAUAGACCCGAAACCGGGCGAUCUAUCCAUGAGCAGGUUGAAGAUUGAGUAACAUCAAUUGGAGGACCGAACCCACAUCUGUUGAAAAAGAUGGGGAUGACUUGUGGAUCGGAGUGAAAGGCUAAUCAAGCCCGGAGAUAGCUGGUUCUCCCCGAAAUCUAUUUAGGUAGAGCCUCGGACGAAUACCACUGGGGGUAGAGCACUGUUUGGGCUAGGGGGUCAUCCCGACUUACCAACCCCAUGCAAACUCCGAAUACCAGUGAGUACUAUCCGGGAGACACACGGCGGGUGCUAACGUCCGUCGUGAAGAGGGAAACAACCCAGACCGCCAGCUAAGGUCCCAAAGUCAUGGCUAAGUGGGAAACGAUGUGGGAAGGCUCAGACAGCUAGGAGGUUGGCUUAGAAGCAGCCAUCCUUUAAAGAAAGCGUAAUAGCUCACUAGUCGAGUCGGCCUGCGCGGAAGAUGUAACGGGGCUAAGCCAUGCACCGAAGCUGCGGCAGCAACUAUGUUGCUGGGUAGGGGAGCGUUCUGUAAGCCGUUGAAGGUGUGUUGAGAAGCAUGCUGGAGGUAUCAGAAGUGCGAAUGCUGACAUGAGUAACGAUAAUGCGGGUGAAAAACCCGCACGCCGGAAGACCAAGGUUUCCUAUCCCAUGCUAAUCAGGGUAGGGUAAGUCGGCCCCUAAGGCGAGGCCGAGAGGCGUAGUCGAUGGGAAUCAGGUUAAUAUUCCUGAACCGACAUGUACUGCGAUGGGGGGACGGAGAAGGCUAGGCAAGCCGGGUGUUGGUUAUCCCGGUGAAAGUAUGUAGGUUGAUGGUUUAGGCAAAUCCGGACCGUUAAGACUGAGAUACGAGACGAGCAUCCACGGAUGCGAAGUUGUUGAUGCCCUGCUUCCAGGAAAAGCCUCUAAGCUUCAGGUACAUGUUGACCGUACCCGAAACCGACACAGGUGGUCAGGUAGAGAAUACUAAGGCGCUUGAGAGAACUCGGGUGAAGGAACUAGGCAAAAUAGUACCGUAACUUCGGGAGAAGGUACGCCAGAGCUAGUGAACCCCUUGCGGGGGGAGCUGGAGCUGGCCGCAGUGACCAGGUGGCUGGGACUGUUUAUUAAAAACACAGCACUCUGCAAAAUCGAAAGAUGACGUAUAGGGUGUGACACCUGCCCGGUGCCGGAAGGUUAAUUGAUGGGGUUAGCGUAAGCGAAGCUCUUGAUCGAAGCCCCGGUAAACGGCGGCCGUAACUAUAACGGUCCUAAGGUAGCGAAAUUCCUUGUCGGGUAAGUUCCGACCUGCACGAAUGGUGUAACCAUGGCCACGCUGUCUCCACCCGAGACUCAGUGAAAUUGAAAUCGCCGUGAAGAUGCGGUGUACCCGCGGCUAGACGGAAAGACCCCGUGAACCUUUACUACAGCUUGGCACUGAACAUUGAACCUCCAUGUGUAGGAUAGGUGGGAGGCUUAGAAGCACUGGCGCUAGUUGGUGUGGAGCCAUCCUUGAAAUACCACCCUUGUAUGUUUGAUGUUCUAACUUAGG
rnacentral:rRNA from 2 species